UACGGAGGGUGCAAGCGUUCUCCGGAUUCACUGGGUUUAAAGGGUGCGUAGGUGGGCAAGUAAGUCAGUGGUGAAAUCUCCGGGCUUAACCCGGAAACUGCCAUUGAUACUAUUUGUCUUGAAUACUGUGGAGGUCAGCGGAAUAUGUCAUGUAGCGGUGAAAUGCUUAGAUAUGACAUAGAACACCAAUUGCGAAGGCAGCUGGCUACACAAAUAUUGACACUGAGGCACGAAAGCGUGGGGAUCAAACAGG
rnacentral:rRNA from 1 species